GACGAACGCUGGCGGCGUGCUUAACACAUGCAAGUCGAACGGAAAGGCCCUGCUUUUGUGGGGUGCUCGAGUGGCGAACGGGUGAGUAACUCGUGAGUAACCUGCUCUUGACUUUGGGAUAACUUCAGGAAACUGGGGCUAAUACUGGCUAGGAGCUCCUGCUGAAUGGUGGGGGUUGGAAAGUUUCGGUGGUUGGGGAUGGACUCGCGGCUUAACAUCUUGUUGGUGGGGUAGUGGCUUACCAAGGAUUUGACGGGUAGCCGGCCUGAGAGGGUGACCAGCCACAUUGGGACUGAGAUACGGCGCAGACUCGUACGGGAGGCAGCAGUGGGGAAUAUUGCACAAUGGGCGGAAGCCUGAUGCAGCAACGCCGCGGGUGUGAUGACGGCCUUCGUGUUGUAAACCGCUUUCGCCUGUGACGAAGCGUGAGUGACGGUAAUGGGUAAAGAAGCACCGGCUAACUACGUG
rnacentral:rRNA from 1 species